CCGUUUCCAUGUCUUCUCAUAGAAACAUGAUGAUGGCAAUCAAUGGUAGUUGGACUCUUACAGAAGAUAAAUGAAAAAUAAGUCGGAUCUGGGUUCAAAUAUUUCUCAUUCAAUUUCAGUGAAAAAGAUAAAUUUUUGGGUGUGUUUUCUAGUGAUUUUUGUUAGUUAAUAGUGACUUUGUCUUUAAGUGAAAGGUGAGAGAAGAUGCAACGGUGAUUGAG
rnacentral:lncRNA from 1 species